rnacentral:miRNA from 1 species
AAACAUCCGGACUAAGUUUAU